GUGAGACAUAAAGAAGAGAAAAAUGAGCCAGAUGAGGGGUCUGGUCUGUUGAGUGAAAUUUCCUGACCCACUCAUCCUCAUCAUGCCUGAGGCUGAGGCCGUCAUGGGGCUGUUCUUGCAAACGUACUCAGUGGACAAUUGUGGCUUUCCCUGCAGCUGCAGACUCUGCGUUCCAAGGCCCCAACUCAACAGAUCUGCUCACAGGGUGUUCCUGCCCUCUUCCCCUUGCUGACCUUUCUGCUGGGGCCCUGCCUCUGCUGCGCUGCAUCAAAUCGACAUGCUCUCAAGAAACCAGGCCAACUCUGCUCUCAGCCCCGUGGGAGGCACAGAUACAGGCGAUGGGCCCUGAAUGGCCAGUGGCAGCUUACCCUCAACCCAGAGGGACACUGGAUGGAGGGGAUCAGGCACCAGGGGGCUCACCGACUGCCACAGAAGUUUUGCAGAGCAAACACAGAAAGCAGAGCGUAAAGAAAAAAGAAAAGAAAAAAGUGGAGCGAUCCGAAGCCAGAGUGGGCGUCAUGUAAGAGGCUGUGGACUCGCAGCCAGUCGCAGCCUAGGUACAAUGUGCGAUGAGAAGUGUCCCAGAUUUCCCAAGCAGAGCUCCAGUCUACUUUGAAGUGUUGACAACACAUGAAAUUAAAAGCAUCACAAUGUGAAUUAUCACGUUGUUUUUUCCACUUUGAUAGCCUCUCCAAAGCAUUUUAUACUGAUGAAUCAAUACAAAUGUCUCUUUAUGAGGACAUCAGGAACCAAAAAAGAAUUUUUUUUUCCUUGAGAGAAACCAGAAGAAUGAUUCGAGCUCUGGCUCACGUAAUAGCCCUAGGUAACAUGGUAGGUUGAGUCUCUCCUUUAAUAGUGGCCACGGAGGCGACAGAGGUCCACUGGCUUGGAUCACACCAUCAGCUCCUGGAUGAACGUCCUGCCUGCUGCUGGGUCCGCACCAUGAGAUGAGACAACUCAGUCCCA